rnacentral:snRNA from 1 species
AUACUUACCUGGCAGGGGAGAUACCAUGAUCCCGAAGGUAGUUUUCCCAGGCUGAGGCUUAUCAUUGCACUCCAGAUGUGCUGACCCCUGUGAUUUCCCCAAAAGUGGGAAACUCGAUUGCAUAAAUUGUGGUAGUGGGGGACUGCAUUCGCACUCUACCCUA